rnacentral:ncRNA from 2 species
GGGAAGUCGGUGAGAAUCCGACGCUGACCCGCAACCGUGACCAUGCCUGUGUGGUGUGGGAGUCGGAGUACC